UACGAAGGGGGCUAGCGUUGUUCGGAAUUACUGGGCGUAAAGCGCACGUAGGCGGAUCGAUCAGUCAGGGGUGAAAUCCCAGGGCUCAACCCUGGAACUGCCUUUGAUACUGUCGAUCUGGAGUAUGGAAGAGGUGAGUGGAAUUCCGAGUGUAGAGGUGAAAUUCGUAGAUAUUGGGAAGAACACCGGUGGCGAAGGCGGCUCACUGGCUCGUAACUGACGCUCAUGCACGACAGCGUGGGGAUCAAACAGG
rnacentral:rRNA from 1 species